UACGGAGGGUGCAAGCGUUAUCCGGAUUCACUGGGUUUAAAGGGUGCGUAGGCGGAUAGGUAAGUCCGUGGUGAAAUCCUGCAGCUUAACUGCAGAACUGCCAUGGAUACUAUUUAUCUUGAAUGUCGUGGAGGUUAGCAGAAUAUGUCAUGUAGCGGUGAAAUGCGUAGAUAUCGUAAGGAAGACCAGUGGCGAAGGCGGGUCUCUGGGCAGUAACUGACGCUGAGGAGCGAAAGCGUGGGGAGCGAACAGG
rnacentral:rRNA from 1 species